UUUAGAAAGUUAAUCUUAGUGGUUUGCAGUCAUUAGUUUUUAAAUCAUUGUUUUAAGG
rnacentral:tRNA from 1 species